GCUAGUGUGGUAUAGUGGUUUAAGUGCUAGGCUAUGACUCUGGAGUCCAGGGUUCAAAUCACUGCUCAGCC